rnacentral:rRNA from 1 species
CUACGGGUGGCAGCAGUCGAGAAUCAUUCACAAUGGGCGCAAGCCUGAUGGUGCGACGCCGCGUGGGGGAUGAAGGGCUUCGGUUCGUAAACCCCUGUCAUCUGUGAGUAAGGCUCCCAAUAAAAGCUUGGGAGAUUGAUAUCAGCAGAAGAGGAAGGGACGGCUAACUCAGUGCCAGCAGCCGCGGUAAUACUGAGGUCCCAAGCGUUGUUCGGAUUUACUGGGCGUAAAGGGUGCGUAGGCGGCUAUAAAAGUUUGGUGUGAAAUCUCCGGGCUCAACCCGGAAACUGCAUUGAAAACUAGAUGGCUAGAGGAUCGGAGAGGAGAUUGGAAUUCUCAGUGUAGCAGUGAAAUGCGUAGAUAUUGAGAGGAACACCAGUUGCGAAGGCGGAUCUCUGGACGGUUUCUGACGCUGAGGCACGAAAGCUGGGGUAGCGAAGAGGAUUAGAUACCCUCGUAGUCCCAGCCGUAAACGGUGCGCACUUGCUGUGGGCGGAUUCGACCCCGUCUGUGGCGAAGCUAACGCGAUAAGUGCGCCGCCUGGGGAGUACGGUCGCAAGAUUAAAACUCAAAGAAAUUGACGGGGGCCUGCACAAGCGGUGGAGUAUGUGGCUUAAUUCGAUGCAACGCGAAGAACCUUACCUGGCCUUGACAUGUAGUGGACCGGGUGCGAAAUCACCCUUUCCUUCGGGACUGCUACACAGGUGCUGCAUGGCUGUCGUCAGCUCGUGUCGUGAGAUGUUGGGUUAAGUCCCGCAACGAGCGCAACCCCCGUGUUCUGUUGCCACCCGGAUGAGAAUCCGGAGCACUCUGGACAGACUGCCUGGUUUCAACCAGGAGGAAGGUGGGGAUGACGUCAAGUCAGUAUGGCCCUUACGGCCAGGGCUGCACACGUACUACAAUGCCUGAUAUAAUGGGAAGCGAGACCGCGAGGUGGAGCAAAUCCUCAAAAUCAGGCCCAGUUCAGAUUGUAGGCUGCAACUCGCCUACAUGAAGGAGGAAUCGCUAGUAAUGCCGUAUCAGCUACGACGGCGUGAAUACGUUCCCAGGCCUUGUACACACCGCCCGUCACAUCAUGAAAGUCGAUUGUACCCGAAGUCGCUGCGUUAACCGCAAGGAGACAGGUGCCGAAGGUAUGGUUGGUAAUUGGGAUGAAGUCGUAACAAGGUAGCCGUAGGGGAACCUGUGGCUG